UACGUAGGGGGCAAGCGUUGUCCGGAUUUAUUGGGCGUAAAGAGCGUGUAGGCGGCCAGGUAGGUCUGCUGUGAAAACUCGAGGCUUAACCUCGAGAUGUCGGCGGAAACCAUCUGGCUAGAGUCCGGAAGAGGAGAGCGGAAUUCCUGGUGUAGCGGUGAAAUGCGCAGAUAUCAGGAGGAACACCCGUGGCGAAGGCGGCCCACUGGGCCGGUGCUGACGCUGAGGCGCGAAGGCGUGGGGAGCGAACGGG
rnacentral:rRNA from 1 species